rnacentral:rRNA from 1 species
CCCGCUCAGAAACUCAAAGGAAUUGACGGGGGCCCGCACAAGUGGUGGAGCAUGUGGUUUAAUUCGACGCUACGCGAAGAACCUUACCUGGGUUUGACAUCCACUGGAAGGCGCUAGAAAUAGUGUCCGCCCUUCGGGGCUGGUGGACAGGUGCUGCAUGGCUGUCGUCAGCUCGUGUCGUGAGAUGUUGGGUUAAGUCCCGCAACGAGCGCAACCCUCGUCGUUAGUUGCCAUCAUUAAGUUGGGAACUCUAGCGAGACUGCCGGUGACAAACCGGAGGAAGGUGAGGAUGACGUCAAGUCAGCAUGGCCCUUACGUCCUGGGCGACACACGUACUACAAUGCGAGGGACAGAGAGCAGCCAACCCGCGAGGGAGAGCGAACCUCUUAAACCCUGGCACAGUUCAGAUUGCAGGCUGCAACUCGCCUGCAUGAAGGAGGAAUCGCUAGUAAUCGCAGGUCAGCAUACUGCGGUGAAUCCGUUCCCGGGCCUU